rnacentral:rRNA from 1 species
AAAGAGGAGUCCGCGGCCGAUUAGCUAGUUGGCAGGGUAAAAGCCUACCAAGGCAUCGAUCGGUAGCCGGCCUGAGAGGGCACACGGCCACACUGGCACUGAAACACGGGCCAGACUCCUACGGGAGGCAGCAGUGGGGAAUCUUGCACAAUGGGGGAAACCCUGAUGCAGCGACGCCGCGUGAGCGAUGAAGCCCUUCGGGGUGUAAAGCUCUUUCGGCAGGGAAGAUUAUGACGGUACCUGCAGAAGCAGCUGCGGCUAACUACGUGCCAGCAGCCGCGGUAAUACGUAGGCAGCAAGCGUUGUUCGGAGUUACUGGGCGUAAAGGGUGUGUAGGCGGUUGUUUAAGUUUGGUGUGAAAUCUCCCGGCUCAACUGGGAGGGUGCGCCGAAUACUGAAUGACUUCGAGUGCGGGAGAGGAAAGUGGAAUUCCUGGUGUAGCGGUGAAAUGCGUAGAUAUCAGGAGGAACACCGGUGGUGUAGACGGCUUUCUGGACCGUAACUGACGCUGAGACACGAAAGCGUGGGUAGCAAACAGGAUUAGAUACCCUGGUAGUCCACGCCCUAAACGAUGCAUAUUUGGUGUGGGCAGUUCAUUCUGUCCGUGCCGGAGCUAACGCGUUAAAUAUGCCGCCUGGGGAGUACAGUCGCAAGGCUGAAACUCAAAGGAAUUGACGGGGGCCCGCACAAGCGGUGGAGCAUGUGGUUCAAUUCGACGCAACGCGAAGAACCUUACCUGGGCUCGAACGGCUUCUCAACGGCGUUGGAAACAGCGCUACCCCGCAAGGGGGUGGAGUCGAGGUGCUGCAUGGCUGUCGUCAGCUCGUGUCGUGAGAUGUUGGGUUAAGUCCCGCAACGAGCGCAACCCUUGUCCUGUGUUGCCAUCAUUCAGUUGGGAACUCGCAGGAGACCGCC